rnacentral:rRNA from 1 species
UAAGGAAUAUUGCGCAAUGGAGGAAACUCUGACGCAGCAACGCCGCGUGCAGGAAGAAGGCCCUUUGGGUCGUAAACUGCUGUAGCAGGGGAAUAACGGUCUCCACGGGGAGACAUGAAGGUACCCUGAAAGUAAGCUCCGGCUAACUACGUGCCAGCAGCCGCGGUAAUACGUAGGGAGCAAGCGUUGUCCGGAUUCACUGGGUGUAAAGGGUGCGUAGGCGGGAGAAUAAGUCAGCGGUGAAAUCUUACGGCUCAACCGUGAAACUGCCGUUGAUACUGUUUUUCUUGAGUUCGGGAGAGGUUGAUGGAAUUCCAGGUGUAGCGGUGAAAUGCGUAGAUAUCUGGAAGAACACCAGUGGCGAAGGCGGUCAACUGGCCCGAAACUGACGCUGAGGCACGAAAGCGUGGGUAGCGAACAG